UUCCCUCCCAGCUCCUUGGGCCCCUCACAGUGAGGGGCCUUGGUUCUGAACAACACUGCUUAGCAGCGACUAUAAACAUCAGUGUCUUAUCAACAUUGUUUUUCUCCUAGAACCAAAACAUAGCAUCAUAGCAGGCACACUGAAGAAAACAAUUCCUUCCCAGCUGAAGCUAAAACACAUGGAUGCUUGUAAUCCAUCUAGAAGACGACCAGUUUGUGCAGCAUGGAUAAAGCUCUCACUGUAACCAUCAGCUUGGGACAAGCAUGGCUCCUCUAUGGAACUCAUGUUCUGCUUCACCUGAAACCAGCUCGUGGAAAAAAAGCUGAGAAAGCAGUGAUAAUAAAAAUAUCUUCCAAGAAACAGAUUCUGAAAUAAUUAAAGGAAAACUCAAACUCUCAUCUGCAAGAGAAGGCUUCUGCUUACAUGAAUGGAAGAUGUAUUUCACUGAAUAGAAGAUUGGCAAACAUGA